GACAGAGGGGGCAAGCGUUGCUCGGAAUCACUGGGCGUAAAGGGCGCGUAGGCGGGAUGGCAAGUCGGUCGUGAAAUCCUUCGGCUCAACCGAAGAACGUCGGCCGAUACUGCCGUUCUUGAGGGAUGCAGAGGAGACUGGAAUUCCCGGUGUAGCGGUGAAAUGUGUAGAGAUCGGGAGGAACACCGGUGGCGAAGGCGGGUCUCUGGGCAUCUCCUGACGCUGAGGCGCGAAAGCGUGGGGAGCAAACAGG
rnacentral:rRNA from 1 species